UGACCUCAAAUCAGGUAGGACUA
rnacentral:rRNA from 2 species